rnacentral:lncRNA from 1 species
ACCGACCACUGGCGGCGGCACAAAGCAAGGCGCGAGAGCCCGGUGUCCAUGGCGGUUCGGCGGCUCCGCUCGCCGGAGCAGCGUGCAACGGAGGGAUCCCGCGCGCUGCUCCGUCGAGCGUGGCCACCCGUGCAGCUACACGACAUUUAUUGCGGGAUGCCGGAGGAGAGAGCAGUGGUGCCAGGUCGGCCAUAAGUGCCCGCCGGCGGUGACGCGAGGCACUCGGCGUCAUCCAUUAGGCGUCGUAAACCUGCGGCUCGUCCGCCGCUGCGGAUGGCACGCCUUCAACGAUGCUGCUGCAGCAUGAGGUACUGACGUUGACGCGCAUUGCAUGGUGGCCAUGCUCAUAGGCGUCCAUGAUGUGUGUGCGGCACGGCAACAUCUCCAAUCUGGAGCGGAUAAGCACCCCCAGCCCAAACACGUUGAGGAUUUAUUCUUUGCUUCUAGUGCUCGGGAUUUGGGGAAAAACUGCUUUUUUUUUCUCGGGAUCUUUUCUUAAAAAAAAAAAUUUGAAUCCUUUUCUGAACCGAGGCCACAAUCAGUGCUAAUAUAUUAGGCGAAAAUUUAAUUUCGGCUAUUUCAUAAUUAGCAAACAUUAGUCAGGGCAAUUAGCACUUAACCCAGAUGUCAUCAUCAUUAUUAUGUAAGCGGAAGCGAUUUAUGCAUGAACAUUACUCAAAUUCAUAAGGAAUUAGACCAUGAUUAGUAAAUAACAUAAACCGAGUCUAAUUGGAGUUCUUAAACAGAGAUCAAACUGGCUCAAGAUACCAAUGUUAACAAUAAUACUUUAGAGUUAAGAUAACUAGGAUCUGGAUCUCUUGAUUAGAACACCCAUCAAGCAGAAUAGUGGUUACUAACCGUGAUUAUCUUGAUCCAUUAACAGGAUAGCCCCUGGCUCCACCUUAGCAUCUCCAGCAGUGAGAAGAUCGUCGGGAGGAAGGGCAUCAGCAGGCGAUGUAGCAGACACGAAGGAUGCCGCCGGCACGGACCUGGAGGUGGCCGGCGGUGGUGGUGGUCUUCUGAUCCCCUUAAGCACCUUUUCAGGAUCGGCUGUUAGGAGUAACCGGGUGCUAACCCGUACGUGUGUCACCCCCAAGGGGUACGACCUCCUCAUUUUGUAAGUGGUGCGAAGGGGACAGGGACCAAAACCAAAAGUUGGGUCAAUGCCCCCGAUCAGGGCAUGUACUGGGGAUGCAAAUCCUCCCCUUCUUUGUCUCAGUUUGUUAUAACCGUAGAUCAAUUCCAACACUGGUAACCUAGAGACAGAGACCGCGCCCGAGGCAGCGCCGGCCCCGUUGGCCGGUGCCCCGUCGACCGAGGAGGCUGCUGGUGACCUGGAGACGGGGACCGCACCGUCGCCAGCGCCAGCGCCGUCCAGCGGGUCGGCAGCGAUAAUCACCACGUACGCCUCGGCUCCGGUGUUCAUUUUGAUUCUGGUGUUCGCUGGUUUCUUCGCGACUGUAUAAUCCCGAUGAGAUUAAAUUUGUCAACGGGAGAACGUAUGUAGGAUAGUCUUUUUUUUCUCUUGAGCACUGUGCAACCCUUUUUUUAUUAUUAUUUCUUCGGGUUGAAAUGAAAGUUUGUUGUAUUUUCAAGAGGGUGUUUUCGUUUCAUGGUUUUGGUGUGUUUGUCAAAGUGGUUAUUGGAUGAGUUCGAAGCCUUGUUUUGCAUUCAAUUCUACACGAACUGAAUAUUACCAUUAGUUUCUCUCUUUUCUGCCAAAUAAAUAUGGGAUAAUUGGUUUUAUGUCCCUACUUAGGUCACACUCAGCUCGUUUAUCCCUAGUUACUGAAAAUACACGUUCCUGCCCAAACUACUAUGCUCGUGUUAUGCUUUUGCCCAUUGACCAUUUGACCAUCAUUUUGAAAAUUUCAUAAAAAA